rnacentral:lncRNA from 1 species
CAAGGUUGUAACAUUUACCAAAUGUUAACAAAAUUAAGUAGUUGCAGAUUCCAUUCAAUCUAAAACAAAGACACAAAGAACAGGCAGGUGGUCGGGGGAAAAAGAGGGAAUUAGGAUACAAUGAGAUCUAAUACUGUCCUAAAAACGGGUAAGUGCUGUUCGUGGAAAGGACAGAGAGAGAGAGAGAUGUUUUAAAGUCAUUUUCAAAGGAAAACUAAGAGUUGGGCCCUCCACACAUUCAAAUUUCUUUAUUCAGGGAAGGGCUAGAUACAAAACACUCAUCUCAAAAAUCACCAAUCUAUUAAUAAUUCAGCCAUAAAGUAGCAGUUUUUGAAAUAAAUGAGUUUAAAGUCAACCAAUAGUUUUUAUACUAGUUUUCAUGCUAAAAAAAAAAAAAGAAAGAAAGAAAAGAAAACCACAAAAACCUUUAUUUAGAAAACCUUCGGGUCAGAAAAAUACUUAUGAAAUUCUUAAUCAUCAUUCACUUAGCAGAGAGCAGUGGCUCCCUUGGGCACAGAGGGCACCCUGCUUCUACAAAGUGCACGCCACAGCCAAACAUAUCCCUCCACACAAAACCAGAAUGCCACCAGAAAAACUGCGACAUGCCCUGCCUUCAGGCGGUCGCUAUUAUUUGAAAACGCAGAAGUCAGCAUUUGUGGGCUAUUUUGUAGUCAGUAGCACCACUGCAGGCUGGGUCAGGCUCGAGAGGAACCUCCAUUGCCAGGAUCCCCGGAAAGAAUGACCGCCUCCCGACUCAAGCCCUGAGCUUGACGCCCUGCUGCCGGGCAGAGCAACAUUAAUGAGAAGAAAAAACAUCCUUCCUCAAAGUCAGAAAACCACGACUUCCUGGAAAAGUCUUCACCGUAAAUAUUAAUCUCUUUGGCAUGAAGAGGAAAACACUGCAGCUAAUUUUUCAUGGGAUAACAAAAAUAUAAACUGCAAUUUCUUUUAUUUUUUCCCUUUCGAUGGUCUUUUUAAACGAGGAGUAAAGAUUUCAACGCCAGGUCCAUUUUCCAAAUUUUGUACCAGAACCUUGAGGAUGCUUGUCUCUCGCGCGCUUCUCCGCAGACCGAACCCUCUCCGGAACUCAGAGCUGUUCACCCAAGUCAGCGGAGGAGGCCUCCUGGGACUUGAGCCUGAGGGUGGCGAAGAACCCUAGGCAGAGAUCAUCAACUUGGUACCGAUGAGUGACGCGGAGCUUGAACAUUCCAGCGACUUGCUCCAGGGCCACUCCCAGUUAAGAGGCUGAGUGUUAACUGCAAGAGGCUGAGUGUUAACUACGCCGUUGGCUCCAGGAACCGAACCGGGUUUGGAUACAGACCCAGUCACACCAUCCAUGAAAAGCUGUUUCUAUAAUAUGAAAAAUUGUUAAAUGACGCUUUAGU